CUGGAGGGCUUAUUGAAACACAGAUUGCUGGGCCCCCCCCAGAGUGUGAGAGAGUAGGUCCGGGUGGGGCCCAGAAUUUAGAUUUGGAACCAGAUCCCCUGGUUCCACAGGUGCUGCUGGUCCCCGGACCACACACAGCCCUAAGGCCGGGGGACCACAUGACUUUGGAGCUCAGACACGUGAGAGGAGGCGGGACCCAAGGGCUGAGGGUGUAUCUCCUCACGACGCUGACCUGCUUCAAGCAACCACUGUGUAUCGCGCCUGCGGCCAAGCAGGACAUUAGAGACGCAGGGGGCCCCUGCAGCGAAUGUGCAUCAGAUGCCAUCUGUGUGCCAGCUCGAGGGAAGUUAGACGUUUGAGACCUUGCCCUAGUGUUCUAGGGCCGCUGGAACCAAGUAGCACAGACCCGGUGUGAGACAACAGAUUUCUUCUCCCCUGGUUCUGGAGGCCAGAAGUCUGAAAUCAAGGUUCCGGCAGGGCUGUGCCCUCUCUCUGUGCCUGGCGAUGGCCGGCCGUCCUGGAUGCUCUUCCGCUUGCUGUUGGUUGGACGCAAGCGCUGUCUCUGGAAGAGACCCUGUUUCCAAAUAAGGACUCAUUCACCUCAUUCAGGAUCCGGACUUCCAUGUAUCCUUUGGGGAGAUAGAGUUGAACUUGCGGCUGACAUUUAAAGAAGGACCCCAAACAACUCCAAAUGUAAAACCUGGCCCUGGCUCAUCACUCAUGUUUGGGAGACAAGACUCCCGAAGUGUCAGCAAGGACCCAGUGGCCGUCUGCCUUCCUGGAGCACGAACAGUGAGAGAGUCCCGUGGCCUCAGUGCUUCAUGCACACCGACCACUUAAUCCCUAACACAGCCCUCCCAGGGAGAUUCUGUUGCCAGUGGACUUUGCAGAUGAGGUAACUGAGGUGCAGAGAGGUCAUACAGCUUUGCCAAAGUGCCUGGGGAGCAGAGCUGGGUGUGUGUGUGUGUGUGAACGACAGCAAGUGACAGCAGGUUGUUUCCUGUUCUCUUCAGACCCUUGGCCCUUGUGAUGGGGACAGGUGAGGCUAACCUUUGUCUCAGCUGCCAUCACAAAACCCAGUGCUUACCUCCUUUAUCAUCCCCCUGGGGCGUGUGCUGCUCUGUGACUUCCCAGGGCGAUUGCAGGGGGCUUUGGGCAUGAUGUAGAAAAGGUCUGAUUACUUUCUUGAUCCCUAAACUCCCACUUGCAUAAGAUUUAGUCCAUAUUUAGGGUCAGUUUCCUGCAUCUGCUGGCAGAUGGAAGAGCCAUCCAGAACCCAUAACGAUAUGCUCUAAAUAACGUUUAUUUUGUGGUUCUGAUCCAUCUGAGUAAAUAUAGUUAGUACCAGAUGGGACUUCUGCAAUCUAGAGUUCUGAAGGCAAGAAAGGAUUUGUUUUGAGUUUCCUUAAAUUAGGUGAGCAAUUUUUUCCUUGGGCUAUCAACCCCCACGUUCAACAUUCCCAGCGUGACAUUUUGUACUGUUAUACUUGGUAAGUAAAGCUUAGCUAUUCUGAGGUUUAUGUGCCAGGAGCCUAUGCUCAGAGUUCCCUUUUUAGUUGCACUCAUAAAGGCUGCUCACAUGUUUGGGUAUUUCAUGCAGAAAGAAGUCUUUCGGGCUAGGUCAUUCUCGGUUAGAUAUUUACAAAGUUCACGGCUAUUUUUAACACACACCUCUGCUGCCUUAAAACCACAGUCAGCAUUUAAAGCCAUGACUGGCUUCUCUCACUUGGCAUAAUGUCUGCAAGGUUCACCCAUUGUGGUAAGUGAAAGAAGCCAGUCACAAAAGGACAAAUGCUGUAUAAGUCCACUUAGAUGAGGUUCCUAGGGUAGGCAGAUUCAUGGAAGCAGAAAGUAUGCCAGGGGCUGGGGGAGGGGGUAAUAGGGGAGUUAGUGUUUCACAGGGAAAGAGUUUCAGGUCGGGAAGAUGGAAACAUUCUGGAGAUGGAUGGUGGUUUUCUAACAAUGUGACUAUACUCAGUGCCACUGAACCGUAUACAUAAAAAUGGCUAAAACGGUAAAUUUUAUGUUGUGUAUAUUUUACAAAACAAAAAAACAUCCUAUAAUAACCUAAGCAACUCUAUGUAAAUUGAUACAAGUGAUACAAUUGAUAGAAACCUCACAUGCCUGCGAUUAAAUAUGAUGCGUAUCAUAAAUACUGACAAUCAUGCAUAUUUAUAUGACGUUUCUUUUGU